CAAUAGCGUAUAUUUAAGUUGUUGCAGUUAAAAAGCUCGUAGUUGGAUUUCUGCUGAUCGCUGUCGGUCUGCCGUCAGGUGUGUACUGGCAGUGUUUGGCAUCUAUUCGAGAUUGGGUGUCCACUUGAUUGUGUGCACUCGAUGUCGGAGCUAAUACUUUGAGAAAAUUAGAGUGUUCCACGCAGGCGCGUGCCUUGAAUACUGCAGCAUGGGAUAUUGGAAGGCCGAUUGAGCUUUCUUGUUGGUUCUCGGUUUGAUCGGAAUGAUUAAUAGGGAUAGUUGGGGGCAUUCGUAUUCAACUGUCAGAGGUGAAAUUCUUGGAUUUGUUGAAGACGGACUACUGCGAAAGCAUCUGCCAUGGAUGUUCUCAUUAA
rnacentral:rRNA from 1 species